rnacentral:lncRNA from 1 species
CAGGACCCCAGCGCCCAAGCUUUGUCAGUUUCUACCCCCAGAUCUGGCCCCAAAGCCCAGACGGAGCCCCCGACAUUCACCUUGUUGGGCCCACUCUGAAGCCUUCUCCUGGUGUUUGUCUCACACCGCCCACCUCCCUGCUCUUCUCAGAAGCGGUUACAGAUCACAGCGCCUUGGACAGCACUCAUGAGACUGGGCUGUUACCAGGG